UACGUAGGGGCCGAGCGUUGUCCGGAGUUAUUGGGCGUAAAGCGUGUGUAGGCGGCUUGGCAAGUUGGAUGUGAAAGCCCACGGCUCAACCGUGGAAGCGCACCCAAAACUGCUUCGCUCGAGUCUCGGAGAGGAAGGUGGAAUGCUUGGUGUAGAGGUGAAAUUCGUAGAUAUCAAGCAGAACACCUGCGGCGAAGGCGGCCUUCUGGACGAUGACUGACGCUGAGACACGAAAGCGUGGGGAGCAAACAGG
rnacentral:rRNA from 1 species